CAAACGCAAAGCUUCAAAAGGGGAAAUACAAGCUUUCCCAGAGGAGUUUCUCCAGGUGCAGCGUGUGGUGGCAGCAACAGCACAGGCAUUUCCUUACUUAACCAGAAGAGACUAAGGGAUCUCCUGGGUCAGGUUCUGUGGAGUUCCAGCAGAAGCCGCGGAUCGUGGAAGUUCAGCGACACCACCGUCCUGCCCCGUGGGAGAGGUGGGCAUUGAGAUGGGUUUGACAAACGCUCUUUCGAAUCCAGAAAAGUCAAGUAGAGAAGGAAAGUAAGGGGCCACUUACUGUGCCUCGAAUCACAAGACCGCGGUGGACCAGCCUGGUUAAGACCUGUGGAUGUCUUCAGCAAGAAACUUGGAGAGGCCCCUAAAGAUAUCGCCAGAGAGAAAACAAAGAAAGCUUCAGUCGCUCCUUCCUAAGCUGUCACGACUACUCUUUUAA
rnacentral:lncRNA from 10 species